rnacentral:lncRNA from 1 species
AUAGGGAUUUGGUGCACGAAUUUCGUCACCCGAUUUUGAGUUUCAACUGUGAAGUUUCAAAUUAACAACCAAGAUCGUUUUAAAUUGAUGUUAUCAUUGUAUUGUCCGAAUCGUCUGAUCUUAAAUUAAUGCUCUAGACAGGAGAGUAUAACAAGUUUUAAACUGAGUUGAAUUGUCACUGUGCAGAUUGAAGGGUACUGGAGAGUAUAAUAAGUUUUAUGAAGAAGGGAUUUACAAUUGUGCUGGAUGUGGAACUCCACUCUACAAGUCUUCCACCAAAUUUGAUUCUGGUUGUGGUUGGCCUGCUUUCUUUGAGGGUUUUCCCGGAGCUAUCAACCGCUUCGUAAGUUUGCUAUGCUGCUUGUUAACAAUUUUGGUUUGUAUUAGUAUAAUCGAACUCAGUACCAUGGAAUUUACAAUGCUGGUUUUUAACUAUAAUAACAUAUAGUAGUAUCUUAUAUCUAUAUGUAUAGUUGAAACUUUGGAAUUGUAUUGUGAUGAUAAUGGAACUUAAUUUCUCAUUUUCAGCCUGACCCAGAUGGGAGGAGGACUGAGAUAACUUGUGCAGCAUGUGGUGGACACUUGGGUCAUGUAUUCAAAGGAGAAGGGUUCAAGGUUCCAACUGAUGAACGACAUUGUGUCAAUAGUGUUUCUGUCAAAUUUAUUCCGGGAAAUGCUACUCCUUCCAUAUGAAACAUUACUUUAUAGCAGUGAUAAUAAAUUAGAGGUGUUUAGUGAAAUAAUUUCUUGCUUGUAAGUCUUGUUUGGUGGUUCCAAAACAGUUAUGGUUAUAAGCUUGAACAGUUGAGCACAGUACUUUAACCUGAAAUUAAUAAAUUGGUAGCCUUUAAUUUCUGUUCAAUCUUUUAUGAUGGCUUUCUAUUUGAUGGGGGAAGAAUUGGAUUUGGUAUGAUUGAUAGGUCUGUGCAAAGGUGAGAGUGACAUAUAAAACAUGGCUAUUUUUUUUCUUUCUGCCUGACCUGCAAGUAACCAAAAUCACAUGGAGUCUCUCUAAAGAUGAAAAUUUGUUUUUGAACAUGCAUCUCACCUCUGAAAAUAUUACACGCCAAAUUGAUAACUAGGUUAAUGGGAGGAGUAUUUAUCUCUAUCUGUUUUGUUCAACUCUUUGUAAAUUUGUUAAAAAUCUAUGUGGUUCUUAUAAAUCCAUGGAAUCAUUUAAAAUCCUAUGAAUCCUUACAAAUUAGUUGAACCCAAACUACAAAAUAUUGAUUUGAAAUGUUUUUUAAAAAACCUUGUAUAAAUCAUUUUCUUAAACUGUUCUUUAACACAUUAUGAUCGGCCGCUUACAUAAUUCUUAUUGCAAGCAGUCAUAGUAUUGUAGUUCCAUGUUUACGGGAAUAAAGGGUCAGAACCCAAUCACAAUUCACGAAUUGAUAUUAACCAUCAAAGGUACCAAACCAGCAUCCUCCUCCAUAAAACGAAUGAUACCGGGGAAAUCAUUCAAAACUAAACACUCCACGUCUAAAGACAAGCCAAACUCUGCUAAGUGUAUCAGCUACUUCAUUUGCUCUUUGGCAAUGAAUCUUUGCACAUAAAAAUGAACCCUCAAAUCCUUAUUCCUUAGUAACUAGUAAAGUUUGAGCCUUGUCUAGACAGGAGAGGAUAACAAGUUUUAAACUGAGUUGAAUUGUCACUGUGCAGAUUGAAGGGUACCGGAGAGUAUAACAAGUUUUAUGAAGAAGGGAUUUACAAUUGUGCUGGAUGUGGAACUCCACUUUACAAGUCUUCUACAAAAUUUUAUUCCAGUUGUGGUUGGCCUGCUUUCUUUGAGGGUUUUCCUGGAGCUAUCAAUCGCU